CUAUGGACAGAGGAGCCUGGCGGGCUACAGUCCACAGGGUCACAAAGAGUAGGAUAUGACUGAAGUGACUUAGCAUGCAUGAAUGCACAUAUCUCUGUUUAGGUAUUUUUCUCACAUGACGGUAAGUCCUGGAGAAACUUCCACCCUGUUUUUGAUUUUUUUUUUUUUUUUUAUGUAGCAAAGUUUUUCUGAAAAAUGGUCGAAUAGUAAAUAUUGUAGGUUUUGCAGGCCAUGUGGUCUCCAUGGCAACUACUCAACUCCGCUACUACAGCUUGAAAACUGUCAUAGACAAUAUGUAAAUAAAUGGCAUGUUCCAAUAAAACUUUAUUUACAAAAACAGGAAGUUCACCAUCCUUGGCCCUAGGGCUGUAUGAGCAGAGCCUGGCUUCAGCCCCACCCUUGUGGAUAGCUCCCCACAGUAUCCAGGUAUCCCAGAGUGGCUGUACUGUUAUGUACUCAGUUCCCUUUUAUAGGGAAUUUAGGUCAUUUCCAAGUCUGACUUUUCAAACGAUGCUCCAAGUCUCACGCCCAGAUCCCUGGGGCACCUGUAGCUGGAGGCUGCAUUCCUCCCACUGGGAAUGCUGGGUGAUGCAGGACGUGUUCCUUAAAUGUUACCAAGUACAGGUAGCAUUUUAUUUUAUUUUAUUUUUUAUUUAUUUAUUUUUUUCAGGUAGCAUUUUAAAUGCAUGAAGCACACCCUUGGACUGUAAGCACAUCAAGGGAUCAAUUGUUCCCAAUCUAUUGUUUUCUGAACAAAACUAGGGCUAUUCUAAAAACAUGCCUUCUUCAAGGUCACCAAGCAAGAUGAUGGGGAGUUAGAUGAUAGGAACCAUCCUUCAUGAGGGGAAAUGGCCUGGGCUGCUGCACACAGCCCCCUCUUGGAGCUCUCACUCAGACAGUUAUGAUUGACCUCCAAGAAUCCCACAGGUAGGAACCGGUGUUGUCUGCUAAGAGCAUGUGUUUCCUCCCUCCUAUUGCUCCAGAGCAGGCCUCUCCAGUUUCUCAAACUCACCAAGGUCUUGCCCUUACAUGGGCCCAAGUGUUCCUGGCAACCCCAGCCUCUUUCCAAAGGGAACUACUUAUGUGGUCUUUCUGACCUCAGCACAGAGGUUUCAUCCCCAGGGAGGCCCUCCCAGACCUGCAGAUCCCAAAGCAGGUCCCUGGCUCCUCCUGCUCCCUUCUCAUUCCCCCAGGAGUACCAGAAUCUGCCACCAUUCAGGAUCAUUCACUUGUUUGCUCCUUUACUCCCUGUCUCCUCCCAUGCCCCCCACCCUCCGGAUAUUCAGCCACUCAGCACAGAGUCAGGAUUUGAACACAGAUUCCUCCAACCUCAGCAGUGCUCCUUUCUAAUCCCAAGCACGCCCCUCCAGCAUCAGGGUAGUGAUGGCGGCUCCAGAACCACGCCACUGUGGAGUCCCAGUCAGUUCAUCUUCCUCCGGCUAUCAAUGGGCACUGGUACCCAGGUCCUGGGCUCCUCUGGGCAUUAGAUAAGUUCUUAAGGAGGUUUGAACACUGGGCUAUGCAGGAAAAACCCACAGUGUCAGCUAUCACUAUGGCACUAUGAUUCACCACUUCUAGGAAGGUGCCAACAUCCCCAGAAUACCUUUCCAAUACAAAUCCAAGGUGGUCCCGGCUUCCCCAAGGGGCCAGCCAACACAAGUCCUCAGUACUCUCCAACUCAUGGACUCCUCCCAGCAGCUCCAGCAGCUUCAGAUGUUGUUCAAUCAUGCCUCUUUGCUACUCCAUUGCCUGCAGCACGCCAGGCUUCCCUGUCCUUCACUAUAUCCCAGAGUUUGCUCAAAUUCAUGUCCGUUGAGUUGGUGAUGGCAUCCAACCAUCUCAUCCUCUGUCACUGCCUUCCCCUCCUACUCUCAAUCUUUCCCAGUAUCAGGGUCUUUUCCUAUGAGUCGGCUCUUCACAUCAGGUGGCC
ensembl:lncRNA